rnacentral:rRNA from 1 species
UACGAGGGGUGCAAGCGUUACUCGGAAUUACUGGGCGUAAAGCGCGCGCAGGCGGUUUCUUAAGUCUGAUGUGAAAGCCCACGGCUCAACCGUGGAGGGUCAUUGGAAACUGGGGAACUUGAGUGCAGAAGAGAAAAGCGGAAUUCCACGUGUAGCGGUGAAAUGCGUAGAGAUGUGGAGGAACACCAGUGGCGAAGGCGGCUUUUUGGUCUGUAACUGACGCUGAGGCGCGAAAGCGUGGGGAGCAAACAGG